GGGUUGUGAGGUUAAGCGACUAAGCGUACACGGUGGAUGCCCUGGCAGUCAGAGGCGAUGAAGGACGUGCUAAUCUGCGAUAAGCGUCGGUAAGGUGAUAUGAACCGUUAUAACCGGCGAUUUCCGAAUGGGGAAACCCAGUGUGUUUCGACACACUAUCAUUAACUGAAUCCAUAGGUUAAUGAGGCGAACCGGGGGAACUGAAACAUCUAAGUACCCCGAGGAAAAGAAAUCAACCGAGAUUCCCCCAGUAGCGGCGAGCGAACGGGGAGCAGCCCAGAGCCUGAAUCAGUGUGUGUGUUAGUGGAAGCGUCUGGAAAGGCGCGCGAUACAGGGUGACAGCCCCGUACACAAAAAUGCACAUACUGUGAGCUCGAUGAGUAGGGCGGGACACGUGGUAUCCUGUCUGAAUAUGGGGGGACCAUCCUCCAAGGCUAAAUACUCCUGACUGACCGAUAGUGAACCAGUACCGUGAGGGAAAGGCGAAAAGAACCCCGGCGAGGGGAGUGAAAAAGAACCUGAAACCGUGUACGUACAAGCAGUGGGAGCACGCUUAGGCGUGUGACUGCGUACCUUUUGUAUAAUGGGUCAGCGACUUAUAUUCUGUAGCAAGGUUAACCGAAUAGGGGAGCCGAAGGGAAACCGAGUCUUAACUGGGCGUUAAGUUGCAGGGUAUAGACCCGAAACCCGGUGAUCUAGCCAUGGGCAGGUUGAAGGUUGGGUAACACUAACUGGAGGACCGAACCGACUAAUGUUGAAAAAUUAGCGGAUGACUUGUGGCUGGGGGUGAAAGGCCAAUCAAACCGGGAGAUAGCUGGUUCUCCCCGAAAGCUAUUUAGGUAGCGCCUCGUGAAUUCAUCUCCGGGGGUAGAGCACUGUUUCGGCAAGGGGGUCAUCCCGACUUACCAACCCGAUGCAAACUGCGAAUACCGGAGAAUGUUAUCACGGGAGACACACGGCGGGUGCUAACGUCCGUCGUGAAGAGGGAAACAACCCAGACCGCCAGCUAAGGUCCCAAAGUCAUGGUUAAGUGGGAAACGAUGUGGGAAGGCCCAGACAGCCAGGAUGUUGGCUUAGAAGCAGCCAUCAUUUAAAGAAAGCGUAAUAGCUCACUGGUCGAGUCGGCCUGCGCGGAAGAUGUAACGGGGCUAAACCAUGCACCGAAGCUGCGGCAGCGACGCUGAUGCGUUGUUGGGUAGGGGAGCGUUCUGUAAGCCUGCGAAGGUGUGCUGUGAGGCAUGCUGGAGGUAUCAGAAGUGCGAAUGCUGACAUAAGUAACGAUAAAGCGGGUGAAAAGCCCGCUCGCCGGAAGACCAAGGGUUCCUGUCCAACGUUAAUCGGGGCAGGGUGAGUCGACCCCUAAGGCGAGGCCGAAAGGCGUAGUCGAUGGGAAACAGGUUAAUAUUCCUGUACUUGGUGUUACUGCGAAGGGGGGACGGAGAAGGCUAUGUUGGCCGGGCGACGGUUGUCCCGGUUUAAGCGUGUAGGCUGGUUUUCCAGGCAAAUCCGGAAAAUCAAGGCUGAGGCGUGAUGACGAGGCACUACGGUGCUGAAGCAACAAAUGCCCUGCUUCCAGGAAAAGCCUCUAAGCAUCAGGUAACAUCAAAUCGUACCCCAAACCGACACAGGUGGUCAGGUAGAGAAUACCAAGGCGCUUGAGAGAACUCGGGUGAAGGAACUAGGCAAAAUGGUGCCGUAACUUCGGGAGAAGGCACGCUGAUAUGUAGGUGAAGCGACUUGCUCGUGGAGCUGAAAUCAGUCGAAGAUACCAGCUGGCUGCAACUGUUUAUUAAAAACACAGCACUGUGCAAACACGAAAGUGGACGUAUACGGUGUGACGCCUGCCCGGUGCCGGAAGGUUAAUUGAUGGGGUCAGCGCAAGCGAAGCUCUUGAUCGAAGCCCCGGUAAACGGCGGCCGUAACUAUAACGGUCCUAAGGUAGCGAAAUUCCUUGUCGGGUAAGUUCCGACCUGCACGAAUGGCGUAAUGAUGGCCAGGCUGUCUCCACCCGAGACUCAGUGAAAUUGAACUCGCUGUGAAGAUGCAGUGUACCCGCGGCAAGACGGAAAGACCCCGUGAACCUUUACUAUAGCUUGACACUGAACAUUGAGCCUUGAUGUGUAGGAUAGGUGGGAGGCUUUGAAGUGUGGACGCCAGUCUGCAUGGAGCCGACCUUGAAAUACCACCCUUUAAUGUUUGAUGUUCUAACGUUGACCCGUGAUCCGGGUUGCGGACAGUGUCUGGUGGGUAGUUUGACUGGGGCGGUCUCCUCCUAAAGAGUAACGGAGGAGCACGAAGGUUGGCUAAUCCUGGUCGGACAUCAGGAGGUUAGUGCAAUGGCAUAAGCCAGCUUGACUGCGAGCGUGACGGCGCGAGCAGGUGCGAAAGCAGGUCAUAGUGAUCCGGUGGUUCUGAAUGGAAGGGCCAUCGCUCAACGGAUAAAAGGUACUCCGGGGAUAACAGGCUGAUACCGCCCAAGAGUUCAUAUCGACGGCGGUGUUUGGCACCUCGAUGUCGGCUCAUCACAUCCUGGGGCUGAAGUAGGUCCCAAGGGUAUGGCUGUUCGCCAUUUAAAGUGGUACGCGAGCUGGGUUUAGAACGUCGUGAGACAGUUCGGUCCCUAUCUGCCGUGGGCGCUGGAGAACUGAGGGGGGCUGCUCCUAGUACGAGAGGACCGGAGUGGACGCAUCACUGGUGUUCGGGUUGUCAUGCCAAUGGCACUGCCCGGUAGCUAAAUGCGGAAGAGAUAAGUGCUGAAAGCAUCUAAGCACGAAACUUGCCCCGAGAUGAGUUCUCCCUGACUCCUUGAGAGUCCUGAAGGAACGUUGAAGACGACGACGUUGAUAGGCCGGGUGUGUAAGCGCAGCGAUGCGUUGAGCUAACCGGUACUAAUGAACCGUGAGGCUUAACCUUACAACGCCGAAG
rnacentral:rRNA from 4 species